UUCGGGCUGUGUGACCAUGUUCCAGAAGUAUUCUCUCCUGCCGUUUAGCCCACAUCUAUGGCAGGCAUCCUCAGAGGUUGUAAGAAUAUAUCCUGAAACUGCUGAUCCACAUCCAAAAAAAGUUUAUUAUUGGACAGAAGAUCAUCAGCAAGAGAAUAUUUCAAGAUGCUCAGCACACUCGCUCAAGCUUUAAAAAAACACUUUUUAGAUGUAUAGUUCAAGCAAGUAACUUCUUCAAACUCAGAACACAUGAACUUGCUGCUGCACAUACAGAUUCUCAGAUCAAACACAUAAAUCAAGCACAUGGGAUCACAGAGAUCAGCGAAUGCAUGUAAUGUGAAUGAACACAGAUAUUUCUAAAUAAAUAAAUGAAUAUUUCCCUAGACAAAGCCAUCCUUUGCACCUGCAGAGGGAAUUGUCUGCACAGAAAUAUAUUUCCAAAGAAGAUUUUAACAUAAUUAUUGUUGAAUGCGAUCUUGGAACUGUAAAUCUGAAAACCUAAUAAUCAUCUAGUCCAACCUCUUGUCGAUCCAGAAAGGUCACAACUAAAUCAUCUUUGAUAGGUGGUUAGGUUGACUCCAGCAAAGGAGAGUUCACAACUUUUCAAGAUGGUCCAUUACACUUUAAAAUAACUAUUACUGUCAAGAAUGUUUAGUCAAUACAUGCUUCUUGUAACUGAAUCUAUUGAUUUUGGUCCUAUCCUCUGCUGCAGCAAAACAUUAUCUGUCUUCCAUGUGAUAUAUAUUCAAAUGUUUGAAAACAUUUCUCAUAUCAUCUUGUCUUGUUCCUUCAUAGCUGCCCUUCCAAUGGCUAAUUUUCUGAUUUCUUGACUGCAUUCUCCAUUCUGAUUAAUGACUUAUAAGCCUUUAGGGUGUUAGGACUGCAAAUAUAAAGAGUGAGAAAAUUCAUCAAACUUUGAAUCUGAAUCCGUUAAAGAAAACAAGAUAAGGAACUCAUUUGGGUAAGUAUAGUAGUGUUCACUGCAAAGGCAACCAACCAUUCAAACUAAUCUGAGCGAAGAUAAACUAUGAAAUAUUGUAAAGGAAAGUUCUCAUCAGAACUUAAAAUGUCCCAAAUCCUUCCUCUUCCUCCUCUCAGUUUCUCCUUUUUUAAAAGAUCAGCUCACCUAAAGGGAAGCAGAAAUGACACUUUGAUCUACCAGCCCAGCCAAACCCAUAUAACUGGGCUGGAAAAAGGGGCUCUUGUGAUGGACAUAAUUCACAACCACCAUUAAAUUUCGUUGAUCUGAUGAGAUCUCACACCAAAUCUUCUGUUGAUAUGGGAUCUUUUGAGAAACUGGUUGAACUUAAGGCUGUAUAUUACUUGUUUGUCUCAUAAGUUACUACCUGUAAUUUGAAUAGGACAUUUAUAAAAUAUUGAAUUAAGAUUAAUAGCAGACAGAAAUCUUGAUGAAAUCUCAAGGAAAGAAACACAAUUAGUUUGUAUAAACAAUCUCAUUUUAUGACAGAAAAUGCCUUUGGCACUCUACAUGCCUAUGUUCAUAAGAUAUCACACACUAUCACACAAGGAUAAUAUUAUUGAAAUUAUGAUAAUGAUCAUUAUUAUUACCCAGACCAGUAAUACUUUUUGGCAGAGAUUGUGAGCAGGAAUUGCCUACGGAAAACUUCAAAACUCCUUAUCAAUUUCUUCCAAAGCAGCAAAUGUAGCAAAAGAAGCAAUACUAGUUUCAGAUGGUGGUGUGGGUUUUGGGAGGUUUUGCUUUGGCAUAAGAAGGCUGCACGAGAAGUACAUUUUCCUCAUGCAUCUGCUUAGGCACGUUCAACUGUUUCUCUUGGAUGUCGAUUGCAGCAGUGUUAGAUUGUUGGACAUAGAGUGAGAAUAGUGAUCCAUGUCUGUGUCCUCCAGUAGGGAUUAUAGCUGCAAUAUGCUGAGCAUGGAGCUACUGUUGAAGGUCACUUGGAUGCUUCAACUAAUACGGAACGUGACCACCCACUUGUUUUCCAGUGCUGCUUGUAAAAUAUAUUUUGCUCCAUUAUAGAAGUGUAGUGUAGGCCACAAACACUGUUUUGCCACAUUAGAAUUAUAUUGACUACUGUUCCAUUGAUUCCCAGAACUUGAAAACAUCACUUUUUGAAUGACAGCUCCUAGAAUUCCUUGAUGAAUAACAAGACAUUAUCUCUUCUGCAUUGGCCAUUAUUUUUUCAGUUGAUAUCCAUUGUAUAUCAAAUGGAGGGCAUCUGAAAGGGGGCCUACAAAUAUGACCGUACAAGAUAACAACAUAUAUGUUGGUAGAAGCAGUCCUUCAAAUAACCUAAAUGAGAAAAAUACAGUACCUUAGUUUGAAAUGAAAUACAGAUACUAAGAAAUUGACAUUAUACAUUCAGAUUGCCCACUUCCCAUUAAUCAAUUUGCCAUAUAAGUGAGUUCUGCUACAUUUUACCACAUAAUAUGCAUUGCAGUAACCCAGAUAGGUUCAGUGUUCCUUCAAGACACACCUCUGUUAUGGCAGUGGUGCAGGAUUUUUUUUUUUUAAUGUCACGUGUCUCCCAUCUGAUCCUAGGCCUGUGGGAAGAUUCGUCCAGUUUGCAGAACACCAAAAUAAAAGAAUCAGUACACCCUAAAGCCUGGAAGUGAUCUCUGCUGACAAGUGUCUUUUUGCCAAGAUCCUAUCAUCCUCCAAAAAGUGUUCAAUCAGAUAGAGAUCUUGAAUAUGCCCAAACUGAAAUUAUAGCAGGACAUGUUUCGACAGAGAUAAAUAGUUUGAUGCUAAUUUGACAGCUUAUUUAAAGUAGCCUUCUCUGAGCCUUCUAAUUUUCAUCUGCCAAAAGUUCCAUUAUGUUGUAAACACACAUAAAUGCAAUAAACAAGAUCACAACCUCUGCAAAGUCAGUGGGAGCUUUCAGCAUACAAGAUGUACUGACUCAGCCAUCUGUGCAAUUGCAAGUAUUCAUUAUCAAUCACAAUUUCAAGGUUAGAGUAAACUAUCUAAACUAGAGGCUGAUGUGUAGCCAUUCUUUCCCUCCAGAGAAUUCUAAGAAAUUUGUUAAUGCAAAAAGUUUCACUUCUUCAUCAAAUCAUAGUUUCCAGGAUUCUUUGAAGAAAGCCAUACUGGAAGUUAUCUUUGUUCAUAGGAUUUUUUGUAUGCCAAUUAAGGUACAUACUGCCUUAGGUGGGUCUGUAUUUCCCUUAAAUAAAACAGAGACCUGUGCCAUCAUUUAAUUUUUCAUGUAUAAAAGUUCACAUCUUUUGAUGGCUUCGUGAACUUUCUUCGCUGUGGAUGCCCAGAUGGUGCAUGUGUUAGAAGUACUGUUGCCCAGCUAAUACCACACCAGCUGAACCAGAUCUGCUAUGACCAUGAAUGCCUACAUCACAGCUAGGUUAUAUUAUUGUAAGAUGCACUACUUGGGGCCGUAUUUGAAACCUCUUUGGAAACCACAGUGGGUGUAGAAUGCAAUUCAUCUGAAACAAUUAAUUCCAUUAACACACCAACUUUACUUGGUAACUUCUUCAUUCCCAACAUCAGUUGAAAGAACUGGUCAUUACCUUUACAAAUAUUAAACUUUUGAAAUCCAAUAUAUAUUAGAUCUUUUAAUGAGGCUUUCUAAUAUAACUAGAUAACUAACAUCUAAUGAGGAUCUCUAACCUACUCAACGAAUGUAUACGGUACAAUUGGCAGGGACACAAGGUGAAGUGUUUUUGUUGUUAUGUCCUCUGUCAAAAAUAGUGGCCCCACCCAGGC